rnacentral:rRNA from 1 species
CACCGCGGUUAUACGAGAGACCCAAGUUGUUAGACAUCGGCGUAAAGAGUGGUUAAGAUUUAUCCAGGACUAAAGCCGAACGCCCUCAGAGCAGUUAUACGCACCCGAAGGUAAGAAGCCCAAUCACGAAAGUGGCUUUAUAACAUCCGAACCCACGAAAGCUAUGACA